rnacentral:rRNA from 1 species
AUGGUCACAUCACAUUGAAGCACCAAUUCCUGUACGUUCACUGAAGUUAAGCAACGUCGAACUUGGUCAGUACCUAGAUGGGUGACCGCUUGGGAAUACCAGGUGCUGUAAG